AUUGAACGCUGGCGGCAGGCCUAACACAUGCAAGUCGAGCGGCUGCAGGGAGCUUGCUCCUGGAUUCAGCGGCGGACGGGUGAGUAAUGCCUAGGAAUCUGCCUGGUAGUGGGGGAUAACGUCCGGAAACGGGCGCUAAUACCGCAUACGUCCUGAGGGAGAAAGUGGGGGAUCUUCGGACCUCACGCUAUCAGAUGAGCCUAGGUCGGAUUAGCUAGUUGGUGGGGUAAAGGCCUACCAAGGCGACGAUCCGUAACUGGUCUGAGAGGAUGAUCAGUCACACUGGAACUGAGACACGGUCCAGACUCCUACGGGAGGCAGCAGUGGGGAAUAUUGGACAAUGGGCGAAAGCCUGAUCCAGCCAUGCCGCGUGUGUGAAGAAGGUCUUCGGAUUGUAAAGCACUUUAAGUUGGGAGGAAGGGCAGUAAGUUAAUACCUUGCUGUUUUGACGUUACCAACAGAAUAAGCACCGGCUAACUACGUG
rnacentral:rRNA from 1 species